UUAAAAAAUGCACGAUGUGGAUGCCUUGGUACCUAUUUAUAGGACGUUAGACUACGAAAAGCCAUUUACCACUUUUUAAAUGGAUCUCCAAAGGGAAACCUGUAAAACUAAAAAUCUGCCAAUGGAAACCACCUAGAGCAGUGUUAGAAAAAUCAACCGAGAAGCCGGUAGUAGCGGUGAGCGAAACUGGUAAUUGAAGGCCUUCGUUUUUAAAGAUCAAGAAAUCUUGGAAGUUAACUGUCCCUGAAACUGUGUUAUGUUUUAACCUAAAACAUAAUCCUAACUUGGUUGGAAUACGGUGCCAAAGAAGGUGAAAGCCCUGUAGGGAAAAUUAUGGCAGAAUUGUAUAAAUUUAUCCAAUAAAAAAGGAAAAAUUUGUUAAGAAUUUAAAAAGGGGGAACCACCCUCCAACUAAUCAAAAAUAGGUAACCGAUAGUGAACCAGUACCGUGAGGGAAAGGUGAAAAGAACAACUCCUGGUUGUAGUGAAAUAGAACUGAAACCUCGUGCAAACAUACACUUGGAAACUUUUUUAAGUGCCAAGGUGCCUUUUGCAACAUGAUCAUGCGAGUUUUUUGGAACAGCUGCUUAACUCUGUAGAGGUAGGCC
rnacentral:rRNA from 1 species